UGGGGAAUAUUGGGCAAUGGGCGCAAGCCUGACCCAGCAACGCCGCGUGAAGGAAGAAGGCUUUCGGGUUGUAAACUUCUUUUGUCAGGGACGAAACAAAUGACGGUACCUGACGAAUAAGCCACGGCUAACUACGUGCCAGCAGCCGCGGUAAUACGUAGGUGGCAAGCGUUAUCCGGAUUUACUGGGUGUAAAGGGCGUGUAGGCGGGAGUGCAAGUCAGAUGUGAAAACUAUGGGCUCAACCCAUAGCCUGCAUUUGAAACUGUACUUCUUGAGUGAUGGAGAGGCAGGCGGAAUUCCCUGUGUAGCGGUGAAAUGCGUAGAUAUAGGGAGGAACACCAGUGGCGAAGGCGGCUUACUGGACGGUAACUGACGUUGAGGCUCGAAAGUGUGGGGAGCAAACAGGAUUAGAUACCC
rnacentral:rRNA from 1 species